GGGGGGGGGGGGGGGGGGGGGUGGGGGGGGGGGGGGGGGGGGGGGGGGGGGGGGGGGGUGGGCGGGGGGAGUGGCGAACGGGGGGGGGACGCGGGGGGAGCCUGCCUGGGAGCGGGGGAGAGCUGGUGGAAACGGUAGCUAAUACCGCAUAAGAGUAGAGGUUGCAUGACAUUUACGUAAAAGGUGCAGGUGCAUCACUACCAGGGGGGCCUGCGUUGUAUUCGCUAGGUGGUGGGGUAACGGCUUACCAAGGCGACGAUACAUAGCCGACCUGAGAGGGUGAUCGGCCACACUGGGACUGAGACACGGCCCAGACUCCUACGGGAGGCAGCAGGAGGGAAUCUUCGGCAAUGGACGGAAGUCUGACCGAGCAACGCCGCGUGAGUGAAGAAGGGUGUCGGAUCGUAAAGCUCUGUUGUAAGAGAAGAACGAGUGUGAGAGUGGAAAGUUCACACUGUGACGGUAUCUUACCAGAAAGGGACGGCUAACUACGUG
rnacentral:rRNA from 1 species